rnacentral:rRNA from 1 species
UGAGCUUGAUCCUGGCUCAGGACGAACGCUGGCGGUAUGCCUAAUACAUGCAAGUCGAACGCUGAAGCACUCUGCUUGCAGAGUGUGGAUGAGUGGCGAACGGGUGAGUAACACGUGGGGAACCUGCCCAUAAGAGGGGGAUAACAUCCGGAAACGGGUGCUAAUACCGCAUAGGUGAUCAUAGCGCAUGCUUAGAUCAUUAAAGAUGGCUUCGGCUAUCGCUUAUGGAUGGCCCCGCGGCGUAUUAGCUAGUUGGUGAGGUAAUGGCUCACCAAGGCUGUGAUACGUAGCCGACCUGAGAGGGUGAUCGGCCACACUGGAACUGAGACACGGUCCAGACUCCUACGGGAGGCAGCAGUAGGGAAUCUUCCACAAUGGGCGAAAGCCUGAUGGAAGCAAUAGCCGCGUGAUGUGAAAGAAAGGUCUUUCGGAUCGUAAAGCUACUGU